CAAUAGCGUAUAUUAAAGUUGUUGCAGUUAAAAGCUCGUAGUUGGAUUUCGGAGUGGGCCAGUUGGUCCGCCGCAAGGUGUGUUACUGACUGGUUUGCUCUUCUUCGCAAAGACUGCGUGUGCCCUUAAAUGAGUGUGCGUAGGAUUUACGACGUUUACUUUGAGAAAAAUUAGAGUGUUCAAAGCAGGUUUCUUGCCUGAAUAUUACUCUUGGAAUAAUAAUAUAGGACUCUGUCUCUAGUUUGUUGGUUUACUGGUGCCGGAGUAAUGAUUAAUAGCGACGGUUGGGGUUCAUUCGUACUGCAAAGCGAGAGGUGAAAUUCUUGGACCUUUGUAUGACGAACAACUGCGAAAGCAUUUGACUAGGACGUUCGCGUUGAUCAAGAACGAAAGUUGGGGGAUCGAAGACGAUUAGAUACCG
rnacentral:rRNA from 1 species